UACGUAGGCAGCGAGCGUUGUUCGGAGUUACUGGGCGUAAAGCGUGCGCAGGCGGCUCCUUAAGUCAGAUGUGAAAGCCCCGGGCUUAACCUGGGAACUGCGUUUGAAACUGGGGAGCUAGAGUGUAGAAGAGGGGGGUGGAAUUCCAGGUGUAGCAGUGAAAUGCGUAGAGAUCUGGAGGAACACCGAUGGCGAAGGCAGCCCCUGGGCUAACACUGACGCUGAGGAGCGAAAGCGUGGGGAGCAAACAGG
rnacentral:rRNA from 1 species